GCAGGGACGGGGCGCGCUCGGGGCUCGGUCACAUUCCGGGGCUCCGGUCCCUCUCCGGUUCCCGUCCCUCCAGUCCCACUCACAUCAUGCUUUAGCAACAAUAGCCCAUCACAUUCCCCAAAAUAGGAAUGCUUUACAUUAGGCACAAGAACUGUGACAACCUGGCUAGCUGUGCCAUGAAGCUGUGCUUCAGUAUUUUCCAAAACUGAAACCACAUAUUCUUCUUCAGCCAGCUGAACCUUGGUUUCCUGCAGAUCUUUCUGUGUUUCUUCCAGUUCUUUCUCCUUGAUCUGCUAAUCUGUUUUACACUGUUCAAGUUCAUUUUUACUGACUCAGGUCUUAAACCUAAACUACAGGUUUGUAUAGUCUUUGUAACAACUGCAAAUACCAAGCCAACACCAUUCUCACUGUAAUAAUUGUUUGCUUCUCCUCUCAAAACGUAAGAGCAAACGACCAUUACAGCACAAGGAAAAGAAUCCCAUUGAACAAACAUAACCAGAUAGACUGAGAAGAGCCAGUAAAACUGAUUACAUAGACCAGCAAAUUAAUAUCUACAUUUCUCUUCAACAAGCAGCUCCAAUUUUUGUGUCAUUUGUUAAAAGGAAGCGCAUCACCUCUCUCCCCAUAUUCUUUGUUCCUAAGCAGAUAGAUACCUGUCAGCUGAGAUAAUAUCAUUUUACAAGCAGAUUCUGUGCUGAAAAAUCAGCAAAAAAAUUAUAGUAAGAGACAUGAAAACAGCUUUAAAAAUAAGUACUGCAACAUGCAAUUUCACAUACAUUAUUUCAAAUUCCUGACUUCAAGGACUAGGAAGCUUCCAUUCUUAAUUAACUGGGGAACUUUAGCACCACCAACAACAAAAACAAUCUUCUGACUGUUCUUUCUUCAAACUUUUUUCCUCCUUUUGACAGGAGGAAUGAAUUUCUUCCAGUUUUUGGCAGCCACAGUUAAAAAACAUCACUUGCUCUUUUCACUUCUUCCUACAUGACACUGAUUUUUGUGAAUAUACUCUGUAAUUUGUUCUUCCUGGACUGUUAGCUUUCCACUAAGGGCUCUCAAGCAAGGAUUAAAAUAAAUGAACAAAUUAGUCAAGUAAGAGGUAGUUUCAAGAUUUACACUACAUUUUCAGUAAUUUUGGAAAAUUCUAUAUGAAUAGCAAGUGAUUUUCACUUAAGGCAGAGAAGAUUUUAGGCAAUUUUCCAUUGUAAACUUUCUGUGGAAACUAGCCCUAUUAAAAGUGAAGUAUAUCAAGUUUAGUUUCCUGUAUUAGCUUCCACUGAAAAAAAAAAGGCUGCAUGUGUAAAUCUCCAUGCUGGCUAAUGCUUAUGGUAAGUUCCAGAGAUACAAAAAUUUCUCAGUGCAAGCCUAUUAGAUUUUAUCUGUAUAAUCAUUAAUUUUGAAAGAACAAGUUGAGCAAACAGUUAAGUUUUCCUAACUAUCUUGAACUUUCUGGAUUAAAAAUAUAUCUGAAAGUAUUUCUGUAUAAGUAUAGGUAUCAGUAUCUGAGAUUUGUUGCUAAUUAUUUUAUAGAAAUUUUACAGACAUACUCAGAGGUUUCAACAGAAGGAUAGACUCCACUUUUCUCUCGAGCAGCAGCAAGGUCUCACUUCAGACCCUGAAUCUCUUCAAUGUAUUCCUGUAUAAAGAAAACCACAGGAGGACAUGCAGGGCUGGCUGCGGGCACUGGCACCAGCGCUCAGGAGCACACCGAGCUGGCCCGGUGGCAGCAGGGCCUCCUCACCACCUCCUCCCCCGGCGUGACCCCGAUGGAAAUGAACCCCCCAAAACCAUGAGCCCUGGAUGUGGGGUCCCGAGCCCCGAUUUUGGGGUCCAGGCCUACUCUAAUGUGGGGGUCCCAGCACCCCCUGAACCUUGGUUUUGUGUCCUGGCCACGCCCAAAACCUUAAAUUUGGGGUCCUGGUCUCCCCAAAAUCCGAGUUUGGAGUCCUGGCCACGCCCAAAACCUCAAUUUUGGGGUCCUGCCUCCCCCAAAACCCACAUUUUGGAGUUCCGGCCCCCCUUUCUCCCAGCACAAGCCAUAGAAAGCCGGGGGGGCCCCAGCAGUGCCGUUGUACAAAUGUAAUAAAGCACCCGCUGCACCCCAAAA